UGGAUGCUUCUGUCUUGCUUUGCUGAUCCUACUUCUCCCAUCCACUGCAGCUGUAACACAGCAAGGGCAACACAGCAGCAUAAGGUUAUAAAGCAUUCUGCCCUGCAUACAGUACCUUGCAAUAGCAAAACAAGUGGGGUGCUGACCCUUAGAAAAUUAUUUGGAAGUUCUUAUUGUCACUGCAGUUGUCUUUUAACCUUGUUGAAGUCAAGCAUUUUUGUCUUCUUUCUGAACUGCUUUCUGAUCAUUCUGACAAAGUAGAUGCUCUUUGAUAUCCUGCUCAGUGGUGUGAAUUUAGAAGUGUUUCUCUAUUGUUUUCUUGCCAAGUUGCUUCAUGCGAGGAGCUUUUCCUCCACAGUGUAUGGGUUUGCUAUUUUCUCUUUAAACUGAUUGCUGUACGAGGCUGGCCAUGUGCUUAUUGUGCCCAGUUAAUAAGAGACAAGACAAAAACUCUGGGGAAGAAAAAGCUCACAAGCCAUUUCAGUAGAGCGCUAACAACCAGUGCUGAAUUAGACAUCAAUGUGUUACAUUUGAUCCUCAUUUUUGUUUUGUUUCCAUGCCUUAGAAUGUACAACAAAAUUUUAGGCGUGAGUUUAAGGGGAAUAACCAUGCAGUGGUGUCAGAACUAGUGUUCCUGAGCUGGACAGUGGACCAACCCCACAUAACUGGCUGAAAGAAUAUAGAAAGUAUCUUGGUCAUUUAAUCCAAAAGGAUGCUAUGAGAAACUGCACUGAAAGCACUGCUGAAAUACAAAGGUUACAUCUAUUGAAUUCUAUUGGCGGCCUUAGUAGCCUCACCUGCUCCUUUCUUUUCAACAAACAGGCAUAUAGCAGCAUUCCUAAUGAACAUAGCAGCUGUAGUCCUGCUGUCAGGACUUGAUUUUUCCAAUGCAGGGAAACAAGAGCAUGGAGACAGAAGGAAAUUGAUCAAACCAAUAUUUGUAUGUACUGUCUGUUUUUUCACCUUGUUUUGAUUGUAAAGUUCAGCUCAAAUAACUACAAAAUUGUCCCAAUGUUACUCAGAUUCUGUGCAUGACUGUAAGUGUCCAUUGCCACUCAUGAUAUUUACUCUUUAAAAAACAGAAAUACAUAACAGUUAAACAAAAAUACAGAAUGCAUAAAUACACUUGAAGUCCUUCCCUUUAAUGCUGCUGGACAAUUCAAGUUUUUGGCUUAUGUUUAAGCAUACAAGUAGCUUUUUCUAUCUAUGGAAUAAGUUUUUGUCACCUAGCCUCACUUUGAAAAAGUUCUUUGCAUUUCCUAUGGAAGAAUAAAAGUAAUUUCCAUAUAUUCAGCUCUACUUGAACUCCAAAAAAUAGUUAGCACACAAUGUGUGAUCUCUUUGAAAUCUCCUAAAAAAUCUGCGACUAGUUUUACUGUUUUAAAAAAAAAAAAAAAAGACAAACAAAACUAGGGAAUCAAAAGCAAAGGAAUAUUAAUCAGUAAAAAUAAAACUAAGUUCAAACUUUGAAUUAGUUCCAUUGACUUUUUUCUAAUCUAAAUGUAGAGAGAUGUGAAUGCUUUUUUCCCCAGUUAUGUAUUUUGGUGUGUAGAUUGAACAGUUAAAACAAAAAAGAAACUUAAUUUUUUUCUUUUCUAAAAUUUUAUCUCUAUGUCAUUAUUUUAUUGCUGAUAAACUUUACAAUUCAUAAAUAAGCACAUUACUUUUUCAAAGUGUUUUCCUAGAACAGUUUAGAUACCUGUGUAAAGCAAUCGUGUGGUAAGAAAUUUAAAGGCAACAUUUUUUAUGAAAAGAUGGGAUUUCUGUAUUCUUAAUCAGUAAUGAUCAACUGUUCUUGAUUUGAGCACUGAUAAUACAAUAAAACAACUUUUUGUUAUUUAUUA